rnacentral:lncRNA from 1 species
AGAUUAGUCAACAUUGUACAACGAAUCAAAGCCACUGCUGUUAUUGUACCAGCUCAUUACAGCUGUCCAGGCACAGUGUCAGGGAGAAGGAUCAUGGGCAACUAAUUAAUUAUACAUAAGACUACUUAAUGUAUGAGAUCAGAGUAUAAUUGUAGGUCUUUUUUUAAAAAAAAAUGCCAAGAGGACCACAUGGUAUGGCAAGUGGCAAAACGUAGAAAGAUCACCGAUCUUAUUACAUGUUAUCCUGUUCUCAUACAAUCCUGAGAAUGAUCACCGAUCUUUUGUCGGUGGUAAGAAAAUUCAUCCUCUUCACGUGCUGUCCAGUGGCACUAGCAUCACUCCUUGAUCAAUAGGAUCAUGCAUGUACUUAGCUUCAAAACAGUCGAGCAUUGCUCUAGUAAGCUGGACAGGAACCCAUUUGUGUACCAUCUCAUUACAAAACUGUCCGUGAACAUCUCAAGAACUACAGAAUUAUCCCCUGAGAACUCAAGUAUACUGUUGUAGUUAUUACUAGUUAGUUAGAGCAGCUUGGUUAAGUAGCUAUCAACCUCAGUCAACAAAGAACUGAAUCAGGGGGGAGAUUGUAAAAAACACAAAUA